rnacentral:lncRNA from 1 species
UGAGUAGAUUAUCAUAUUUGGAAGGAUUUCAUAAAAUUUUAUUAGACAUUCUUAGGAAUAUUACAGAUAUAGUAGAUAUCCACAUGGAUAGAAAAAGUUACAUAUUGAAUUCACUUUAAGAUUACAGUUUUUACAGUUUUUAAAGAUUUGUGUGUUCUAGAUAAGUGCUUUCUUUGAGCUAUAUCCUUAGCUUGUGCUUACAGUUUUGAAAGACAGGUAUAAAGACAGGUAUUAGAGGCAUGCAUAUAUGCAUACAUGAGUACAGGGUAGGUGAAAUGAAAAUAAGUGAUUUAUUCAGGUUAUUGGAAUGCUCUAUGAUUUUGUGUGUGUGUGUGUGUGUGCAUGUGCGUGUGCAUUGGGUAUUCAACCCAGGGCACUGACCUCUACUCUCAGAUGGUUUAGAUUAUAUUUUCAAAAUUGAUAGUUUUAUAAUAAAUAAAGGGGAAUUAAGGUAUAUUAUUUCCAUGUAGUAUAUACUGAAAACUGUUAAGCACUAAAAUACUCAAAGGCUUGAUCUAGUUGAUAUUGUAUUGUGUGUUAUUUUUUAUACUUAGGGUGCAUUUUAAUAGUCUCAUGAACUGGCUUUUUUCUUUAUUCUUUAUUGCUAAAUCUUAGCACACAUUAUCAUUCCACUCAUUACAUUCCUAUGGUAACAUGAGAUUUUACUGUUAUUAUUGUUCUUAAAAAUUAUGACCUUAAUAAGUAGACUUAUCUAUUAUGUAUUUCUGUGUCAGUAUAUUUUGUAAAAUUUCAGUUUUUCAAGUAACUAAAGAUUGAUAUUUUCAGUUCUAGAUAAAUGCCACACUUAACUAUUUUGCAAGGAAGCAUCCAUUAUAUUCUUCUAUAUCCAUUUCUUCUUGUUUGUUUGUUUGUAGCCUGUCUUUGUCAACCAGCAAAACAUUCAUUACUGUCUUCCAAAUUCCUUCAUGUAUUUUGUUGAUUUAUUUUAUAGUGUUUGUGUUUUCUAUGUCAUUGCUUUCUUAAAACUUGCUAAAGCAUUGGUUUGAUUCCCUUCUCUAUUCAUCUGUGAGUACUAUUAGACAUAGCAUACAACAGUACACAAUUAAUUUACUUAGUCUAUCAUUUGUAUUCUGUUUGGACUUUUAUUUGAGACGUGGUCUAUUUAACCUUGAUUGGCCUCAUUGAACUUCCUAUGCAGACCAAUCUGCCUCUGUCUUGAAAAUGAUGGGAUUAAAUGUGUGUGUGCCAGUACACUCUACUUUGUUUUCUGAAUUUGGAAGAAAUUUAUUAAGAGAUUGCGUAGGUUCAUGUGCCGUGGUUUCUUUGUGGUUUGCAAAUUGACCUGAGGACUUUUCAGUGUCCAGUGGAGUUGGGAUUACUCGUGCAAGACGGAUGAGCUUUUCUUUGUCCAUGUGUGUGUAUGUCUGCAUCUGCCCCAGUUUCUUGUUUUGUCUUUUCUCUGUUUCUGUCUCAUUUAUUUCAAACUAACAUUUGGGAAGUGAUAUUGUAGGUGAAACUUGAAUUCCCUGUAAUGGAAUUCUUUGAAGUGUUUGCCUUUCUCUGGUUGUGUAUUUUAGAGAAUCCAGAAGAUGUAGCUUCUGAAUCAUGGUCCUCAUGUCUUUAAAAGAUAUUCAAAUGUUAGAGCAUGCUACUUCAAAAAAGGAACAACCAUAUUAUUAAUUGUAGAUACAUAAUGUUUCUAGCUUAUUUUAAAAAUUCAGUACAAAGAAGUAUAAAGUAAAAAAUUCCAUUUCCCCUUUACAAACUUUUAGAGGUAAUCACUCUGAUAGUUUGUAGAAGUGACUGGAUUUAUAAAUACAAAAGAUGUAGCACUAAAACGUGCUGAUAUUGUAAAAACCUAAGAUAUUAUUUUGGGAUUCAAACCCCAGUAACAUCCUUUCCCUUCCCUCCAAAACAGUAUCAUUAAGC